UCCCGCUUAAACGCGGGCAGUUCUGUGAGACACUUGUAACUCACCGUAGGGGUUGCGCUCGUUUUCACACUUAAGUGAACACCUCACGGCACGAGCUGACGACAACCGUGCAGCACCUGUGUAGCACCCUCGAAGGCGCCCCAAUUUCUUGGGGAUGCAGCUACAUGUCAAGCCUUGGUAAGGUUCCUCGCUUACCGUCGAAUUAAACCACAUGCUCCACCGCUUGUGCAGGUCCCCGUCAAUUCCUUUGAGUUUUAGCCUUGCGGCCGUACUCCCCAGGCGGAUGAUUUAACGCGUUAGCUAUGGUACUAAGAAGGGUCGAUACUCCCUAGCACCUAAUCAUCAUCGUUUACAGCGUGGACUA
rnacentral:misc_RNA from 1 species